AAAUGCGAUUGGAGAUCACAAGGAGAGGUGGCCCCUCGGGAUCAUCUGCUCUCCUCUUUAUCACAGCCUGGCUUAGGUCCUUCUGCUUGAGGUCUUCCCCAGCACCCUUUCUUCCACUCUUGUUUAGAUGAUCAAUGACCUCACUGUGCUCACUCCCUUGAAUUGUGGAUUCUUUUCCUAAUGAAUAAUCAGGCUUCCUAAAAAUUUGUUUUAUUUUGAGUGAUUAAGGAAAGAGGUUGUUUGAAAGAGGAAGAUUAAGGAAAUGUAUUGCUGUGCAGAGUAAUGAAUACCAGGUAAAGUCAUCUUAAGGGAGAGGAAGUUAAAGAGUCCAAUAAAAGGAGCAAUAAAAAUUAAUGGGAUAAACUUACGAUAGAGGGGGAAAUAGAUUGAAUAUUCUGGGAAUUGGUAUUACAUUAAUAUCCAAGAAUCUCUUGGAGGGGGCAGUCUAGCAGUGGCUCAGGGAAGGUGGAUCUGAGCAAGUUACUUGCCUGAGCUACAGUUUCCUUAGAAUGUGGCUAAUAAUACCACUGUGUGGAGCCCCGGUUAGAACGGGGUCUGACUGUGUAUGUAGAACUUUCCACAUUGCCUAGCACACAGCAUUUCUUUUCUCUUUUCCUUGGAUGCAACAAAUGUUAGUAUUAAAAGUGAACAACUAGCUGGCAUGGUGGCAUAUGCCUGUAAUUCCAGUGACCCGGGAGGCUGAGGCAGAAGGAUCACAAGUUCAAAACUAGCCUCGGGAAAACUGGAAAUCCAUAUGCAACAAAAUGAAGUUAAACCCCUAUCUCUCACCAUGCACAAAACUCAACUCACACUGGAUCAAGGACCUAGGAAUUAAACCAGAGACCCAGAAGGCCAGAAGAAAAAGUAGGCCCAAAUCUCCAUCAUGUUCCAUUAGGCCCCAACUUCCUUAAUAAGACUUCUAUAGCACAAGAAUUAAAAUCAAGAAUUAAUAAAUGUGAUGGAUCCAAACUAAAAAUCUUCUUCUCAGCAAAAGAAACAAUCUGUGAGGUGAAUAGGGAGCCUACAUUUUGGGAGCAAAUUUUUACCACUUGAACAUCAGAUAGAACACUAAUCUCUAGGGUAUAUAAAGAACACAAAAAGCUAAACGCCAAGAAAACAAAUAACCCAAUCAAUAAAUG
rnacentral:lncRNA from 1 species